AGCGAACGCUGGCGGCAGGCUUAACACAUGCAAGUCGAGCGGGCAUCCUUGUGGUGUCAGCGGCAGACGGGUGAGUAACGCGUGGGAACGUGCCCUUCGGUUCGGAAUAACUCAGGGAAACUUGAGCUAAUACCGGAUACGUGCGAGAGCAGAAAGGUUUAUCUGCCGAAGGAUCGGCCCGCGCCUGAUUAGCUAGUUGGUGAGGUUACGGCUCACCAAGGCGACGAUCAGUAGCUGGUCUGAGAGGAUGAUCAGCCACACUGGGACUGGGACACGGCCCAGACUCCUACGGGAGGCAGCAGUGGGGAAUAUUGGACAAUGGGGGCAACCCUGAUCCAGCCAUGCCGCGUGAGUGAUGACGGCCUUAGGGUUGUAAAGCUCUUUUCUCCGGGACGAUAAUGACGGUACCGGAGGAAUAAGCCCCGGCUAACUUCGUG
rnacentral:rRNA from 1 species